CCCAGAUAUUAUUUUGGCACACAGUUCUUCACAGCACAGGUUUUCUUCUGCUGUUGCAACCAAAGCAGCACAGCGAGCAAAUGCUCUGUAGAGGUCUGACCAAGCACGCAGCAAGGAUUUCAUAGUUGGCUGUGGAAAUUCCUGAACAGGGAAGAUAUGGGACACUGGUAGCAACAGAGCAUUAUAAACAGCAUUGAAAUUGUGCUCCAGUGCGUCCCCUUGAUUUACUUCAUUAGUCCGGUUAAUCCAGUCAGUCAGCGGGUUAACAACAAUACUCCACAUCCUCCAAAGAUGCUCCUUGUUUUCCACCUGCUUGGCGUUCUGAU
rnacentral:lncRNA from 1 species